rnacentral:rRNA from 1 species
GAGGGAAGAAGCCCAAGAUUGAAAGCUGGCGUCUUCGGCGUCCGCAUUGUAAUCUCAAGAAGUGUUUUCCGCUUCGGACCAUGCCUAAGUCCCUUGGAAAAGGGCAUCAUAGAGGGUGAUAAUCCCGUACAUGGCAUGGAGCGCCCGAAGCUUUGUGAUACGCUUUCUAAGAGUCGAGUUGUUUGGGAAUGCAGCUCAAAAUGGGUGGUAAAUGCCAUCUAAGGCUAAAUAUUGGGGAGAGACCGAUAGCGAACAAGUACAGUGAUGGAAAGAUGAAAAGAACUUUGAAAAGAGAGUUAAACAGUACGUGAAAUUGCCAAAAGGGAAGGGUAGGAGGUCAGAGAUGCGGCCUGGGAUUCAGCCUUGCUUUUGCUUGGUGUUUUUCCCAGAUUGCAGGCCAACGUCGGUUUUGGGCACUGGAGAAGGGUAGGAGGAACGUGGCACCUCUCGGGGUGUGUUAUAGCCUCCUACUGGAUACAGCGACCGAGACCGAGGACAGCAGCGUACUCGCAAGAGCGGGCCUUCGGGCACCUUUACGCUUAGGGCGUUGGCAUAAUGGCCCUCUACCAC